CCUUAGUAGCGGCGAGUGAAGCGGCAACAGCUCACAUUUGAAAUCCGGCUCGUAACUAAGAGUCUGAGUUGUAAUCUGCAGAGGGUGUUUCGGGUAAAGUCUGGUUUAAGUUCCUUGGAACAGGACGUCAUAGAGGGUGAGAACCCCGUCAUUGACCAAUCACCAACCCAUGUGAAACCCCUUCGACGAGUCGAGUUGUUUGGGAAUGCAGCUCUAAAUGGGUGGUAAAUUUCAUCUAAAGCUAAAUAUUGGCCGGAGACCGAUAGCGCACAAGUAGAGUGAUCGAAAGAUGAAAAGCACUUUGGAAAGAGAGUUAAAUAGUACGUGAAAUUGUUGAAAGGGAAGCGCUUGCGGCCAGACCUGUGCGUAGGUGAUCAGUUGGUAUUUUUUUCUUACCAAUGCACUCACCUAAAGCCAGGCCAGCAUCGGUUUCGGCGGCGGGACAAAAGCGUGGAGAAUGUAACUCUCUCUUGGGUGAGUACUUAUAGCUCGUCAUGGAAUGCCGCCAGCCGGGACCGAGGACCGCGCUUUGGCUAGGAUGCUGGCGUAAUGGUUGCAAGCGACCCGUCUUGAAACACGGACCAAGGAGUCUAACAUCUAUGCGAGUGUUUGGGUGUAAAACCCAGGCGCGGAAUGAAAGUGAACGGAGGUGAGAACCCUUAAAGGGGGUGCACCAUCGACCGAUCCUGAUGUCUUCGGAUGGAUUU
rnacentral:rRNA from 1 species